rnacentral:rRNA from 1 species
GGUUGAUAAUUACGAUAAUUUGGCAAUUCACACUGCUUAUCCCUUGUGCGGCGUUCUUCAUGAUGCCAGAACCCAGAGUCCGUUGUGAAAGUUUUGAUUUAUUUGUUUGUUUUUACUCAGAAGUUACACUAAAAAAANGAGUUUUAGGUCCUCUGCGGCCGUCCCGUUUUACCGGGCCGGUGAUCCCCAGGCAACNAUAGGUAUGUUCACCGGGUUUGGAGUUGUAAACUCGGUAAUGAUCCCCUCCGUAGGGNAACCUGCGGAGGGAUCAUUACCGAGUUUACAACUCCCAAACCCCUGUGAACAUACCUAUUGUUGCCUCGGCGGAUCAGCCCGGCCCCGGUAAAACGGGACGGCCCGCCAGAGGACCCUAAACUCUGUUUUUAGUGUAACUUCUGAGUAAAACAAACAAAUAAAUCAAAACUUUCAACAACGGAUCUCUUGGUUCUGGCAUCGAUGAAGAACGCAGCAAAAUGCGAUAAGUAAUGUGAAUUGCAGAAUUCAGUGAAUCAUCGAAUCUUUGAACGCACAUUGCGCCCGCCAGUAUUCUGGCGGGCAUGCCUGUUCGAGCGUCAUUUCAACCCUCAAGCACAGCUUGGUGUUGGGAUUUGCGGAGUAAUUCGCAGUCCCCAAAUCUAUUGGCGGUCACGUCGAGCUUCCAUAGCGUAGUAAUUACACCUCGUUACUGGUAAUCGUCGCGGCCACGCCGUUAAACCCCAACUUCUGAAUGUGACCUCGGAUCAGGUAGAACUACCCGCUGAACUUAAGCAUAUCAAUAAGCCGGAGGAAA